AAUCGUAACAAGGUUUCCGUAGGUGAACCUGCGGAAGGAUCAUUA
rnacentral:rRNA from 5 species